UACAGAGGGUGCAAACGUUGCUCGGAAUCACUGGGCGUAAAGCGCACGUAGGCGGAUUUGCCAGUCAGGGGUGAAAUCCCGGGGCUCAACCUCGGAACUGCCUUUGAUACAGCAAGUCUUGAGUUCGAGAGAGGUGGGUGGAAUUCCUAGUGUAGAGGUGAAAUUCGUAGAUAUCGGGAGGAACACCAGUGGCGAAGGCGGCUCUCUGGGCAGAUACUGGCACUGAGACGCGAAAGCGUGGGUAGCAAACAGG
rnacentral:rRNA from 1 species